GGUCGCCGGGCGCGCGGGGGGACGCCGGCUGCACUCCGGGGCAGGCGCUCUGCAAUGAGACAGUAAAUGCAUCCCCCGCGCACUGCUGUAGGGUAACACCUGGAUUGGGUUCCCAGACCCUUGGAUGUCUUGCUGCCCACAAAUUCCUGGAUCAACUUGUUGAAAACUAUCAUCUAAAAAUAUGGAAAAGUUGUAGAAGGUGGAAAGUUCUGCCCAGGGAAGGUAUGUACUAGGUGCCCCAAGCCCAGCUUGGUGUGGUUUCUCUAGUCCCCACUGUGUCCUUGAGCUUAUGGCACCUUGUGCUUCCUGCCUUCCCUGGGGCAUCUGUGUUCUAAGCAUCUUUCAUGGUCUGUCCACCUAUUGUAAGCAGUGAGAACUGGGAAGGAAGGCUUCUGGUUUACCAUGUAAGUCCCAUAGCCUUGCAAGUAUUCUAGGCUCUUACCUGCUUUGGGACAUCUUUCAUUUCCUGGAGCCAUCUUUCCUAAGUUAACCUUCCACCCUCUGAUCGUACAUUUUUUGGGGGGACAAAAGCCUUUAAAAAGCAAGUUUCAGUAGAGUUACCAAAAACAAAACAAAACAAAACAAAACAAAAAACCUCAGUGGAGAUUUAGAGGUGAUUGUAGGGAGUGGCUCACUAUGCGUGUUAU
rnacentral:lncRNA from 12 species